CUCCAGUCUUCCAUAUCCUAAGUCUUUUGUUUUUGUUUUUUCCCAUGCAGGACCAGGGCCGUCUUUAACGCGAGGCAAACGGGGCAGCUGCCCCGGGCCCAGUUGCUCCUGGGGGCCCAGAGCAGCUGCUCUGUGGGCCCCACGAUUUGCGCAGCCCCUAUGGACCGGGCGGUGCGGCUCCCACACACUGAGGAGGCUCCCCAUGCACUAAAGG